GACAUGGUGGCCAAAUGGUAAGGUGUUGGUCUUAUAAACCAAAGAUCAUCGGUUCAACCCCGAUCCAUACCU